rnacentral:tRNA from 1 species
GAGGGUAUAGCUCAGCAGUAGAGUGCAUGCUGAACACGCAUAAGGUCCUGGGUUCGAUCCCCAGUACCUCCA